UUUGUUUUUUAAAUCAAGAUUAUAGAUUUUGGGGAGGUGACUCAGGAGUUAAGAGCAUUUGCAACUCUCCAAGGAGGCUUGGAUUCAGUUCCUAGUACCCACAUGGUGGCUCACAAUCAUCUAUAACUUGAGUUUCAGGAAAUCCAAUACUCUCUUCUGACCUCUACAUAAACCAGGCAUGCACAUGAUGCACAUAAAUAUUGUGCAGGCAAACACCGUCCCCCAGACACUCAAAAUACAUAAAAUAAAAAUAAGUAUUUUUUAAAAGUUGGAAUUUGGUAUGAUUAGCUUUAUAGCUUUAGCUAUUUAUAUUAGUUUUAUGGCAACUUGACACUACCCAGAGUCAUUUUGGAAGAGGGAACCUCAGUUGAGAAAAAUCCUCCACCAUAUUGAUCUAUGAGCAAGCCAGUAAGCAGCACUCCUUCAUGGCCUCUGCAUCAGCUCCUGCUUCCAGGUUCCUGCCCUGGUUGAGUUCCUGCCUUGACUUUCCCUCAGUGAUAGAGUGUUCUUGGGAGUGUAGAUGAAGUAAACCCUCGCCUCCUAAACUGCCCUUGGUCAUGAUCUUUUAUCAUAGCAAUGGAACCCCUACUUAAGACAAUUAUCUUUGAAGCACAUAUUUUGACAUUUAGGCAUAUCAAUAAAUGAUUGAUGGUUAGUUUCUUAAAAUGCCCCUUGACCACAAAGACAGUGAAUUUUCUCCCUUGCUCCCUAGCAUAGAUUAUAGGUCUGAGCCAUCAGAUCUGGCUUGAGGUUCAAAGCUUGUGACCACCUGUUCCAAGGACAAAUGAGCUGCCUAGAACUCUUCCACUGGCCUGCCUGUAGCCGGGAAUGGUGGAGUUCCCUGUGACUGUGGGAUUCUAUAUGAGCUACUGAUGAGACAUAAGCAAGUAAGGAAAGUUGAUCUUGGGAUCAACACUCAUCAAGAAUAAGAUGGGUCCCCCACUCUCUAGCUGUGCUUCCAGACAGGUUUGCUUCAGUGUGGCUUCAGCAAAGCCUUCCUAGUGGUCUACAGUAGAGAAUGCAAGAGUCCAUCCCUAGCCUGAACACUGCACACAGACACCAAUUAUGCUAAAAUAUUUAAUUUCAUUCCAUAAAUAAUUAAGCCUAAAUAAUAAUACCUAGAUAUAACUUGGAACUUGUGACAAUCUACCUGCCUCUGUCUCUGUGUACCAGGAUUAUAGGCCUGGGCACACAUUCUUCUUCAGGACUGAUUAUAAUACAUUUUGUAUAUUGAUUUAAAAAAAUGAUGCUUAGGUAGUUAUGGCCUGUGAGUAAUUCUAUAAAGUAGACUAAGUGGAUAUCAUCAGUCUAUACUCUAAGACAUUCCUUUAAUUUUUUUAAAUUUUUUUUUAAAGUUCUACUUUUUAAAGAUUCCUAGAGAGCCAGAUGGGUGAUGAAAAGCCAGGUUUCACAUGUAACACUAAUAUUGGGGGAAAAAAAACCUGACGCUAGAAAUUAUUUAGUUAUUCUGAAAGCUGUCACUUCUUGAAAGCAGAGUCAGAAUUAGAAAAGAAUUAACAGUGUAUCGUUGUGUUCUCACAUUUCCAAUGUGGCUGGUGAAUCAUGAAGCAAAAAUUUCCUCAAAACUGGAGCCCCAGAGUCUUAGUCUGAGCCCAUCCUCCUGCCUGAGAAUCUCCAAAUUGCCUAGUGAAGGAAAAGCUAUGUCCAUGGUCCCACCUGUUCCAAAGUCCCUUUGGAAAUCUAGGCAGAAGUAGGUUUGCUAGAGUCUUACUUAUGACAACCUGGGAAACAAAGAAGGCUCUUCAUACAAGGGUGUGUAUCCACACAAGAGGCAGCAUCCUGAAGGAAACCUUCAGGAGCCUCCGAUCCUGCAGUUAGCUGACUGUUUCCUGCCCUCCUUGGUCCAACUCGUUAUGGCCCCAGGUGUUCCUUCUUGCUGCUGAACUGCUGUCUCUACCAGCUGAGCCCACUCCUGUGGUCUGCACUCACUGCCCUGGCUGCAGGUUGAACAGGGUCAGGCUACUUCUCAGAUGCUUCCCACCAGCCGCAGUGAACUCCAUUUUGACAUGAAGCCAUUUAAAUGGAAAUCCAGUUUUACAAAGCUCAAGUGACUGGUAAUGAAGAUGUGAAUGAUGCUUAUGAGGUUUUUAUUUAAUUUUAAAUCAAUUGUGUAUUCUAAUUCAUUAAUAAAGGGGAAAGGAAAGAAUACAGGAA